CUGAUCUCCUCUCUGCUACAGUCCUGUCCCUCCUUCAGUCUGAUACAGGCACACACCUGUUCCCCCAACCUCUCAUCUCUCACACCAAUCACCUGGGGAGAAAGAGAGGUGGACAGGACAGGGAGAGAAUAUAAUCACCUGGGGAGAAAGAGAGAUGGACAGGACAGGGAGAGAAUAUAAUCACCUGGGGAGAAAGAGAGGGGGACAGGACAGGGAGAGAAUAUAAUCACCUGGGGAGAAAGAGAGGGGGACAGGACAGGGAGAGAAUAUAAUCACCUGGGGAGAAAGAGAGGUGGACAGGACAGGGAGAGAAUAUAAUCACCUGGGGAGAAAGAGAGGUGGACAGGACAGGGAGAGAAUAUAAACACCUGGGGAGAAAGAGAGGUGGACAGGACAGGGAGAGAAUAUAAACACCUGGGGAGAAAGAGAGGGGGACAGGACAGGGAGAGAAUAUAAUCACCUGGGGAGAAAGAGAGG